CACACACUCACUCACUCACUCUACUGCCAUUACUGAGUCUGCUGAGUUGAGUGAUUCAUCGGCGACUUCCAAACCCUAGCUGCUGUGGUUUCGAGAUAGAGACAACUCUCGGCCGGCGAAUCAUCUCUGAGCUGUUCGAAUUCAAAUGCGAAGAUUGCUAAUUUCUGGGACAAGAGUAUGAGAACUGAAGCUCAGAUAUUUGGAUCUUUUAAAUUUGUAUCUGGAGACAAUGCAGGUCUGAGAGAAGGUAUUCAUCAUUGAUGCUUUGCACACA